rnacentral:rRNA from 1 species
GGGGUAAUGGCCUACCAGGCGUCGACGGGUAGCCGGCCUGAGAGGGUGUACGGCCACAUUGGGACUGAGAUACGGCCCAGACUCCUACGGGAGGCAGCAGUGGGGAAUAUUGCACAAUGGGCGCAAGCCUGAUGCAGCGACGCCGCGUGGGGGAUGACGGCCUUCGGGUUGUAAACUCCUUUCGUCAGGGACGAAGCGAAAGUGACGGUACCUGGAUAAGAAGCACCGGCUAACUACGUGCCAGCAGCCGCGGUAAUACGUAGGGUGCGAGCGUUGUCCGGAAUUACUGGGCGUAAAGAGCUCGUAGGUGGUUUGUCGCGUCGUUUGUGGAAUACCGCAGCUUAACUGCGGGGUUGCAGGCGAUACGGGCAUAACUUGAGUGCUGUAGGGGAGACUGGAAUUCCUGGUGUAGCGGUGGAAUGCGCAGAUAUCAGGAGGAACACCGAUGGCGAAGGCAGGUCUCUGGGCAGUAACUGACGCUGAGGAGCGAAAGCAUGGGUAGCGAACAGGAUUAGAUACCCUGGUAGUCCAUGCCGUAAACGGUGGGCG